CUUUUUUAUAGGGAAAAGACAAGCCUAGCAAGGCAAAAAACAGAAAGUCAAAUGAAAACAAGGAAAAGGAGAACAUUGAAAAUCAAGCUACAAAUAAGGAGUUAGUACCAACGAACGAAACAGAGAUGACAAGGAAGAUCGAGUCAAGAACUUUACAUGCAAACGAGGAAAUGAAGAGACCUGAGAAUCAGAUAAACAUCAGAUCAUUGGAAGUUACAAAUG